GAUGAAGAAUGUAGCGAAAUGCGAUAAGUAGUGUGAAUUGCAGAAUUCAGUGAAUCAUCGAAUCUUUGAACGCACAUUGCGCCCCAUGGUAUUCCGUGGGGCAUGCCUGUUCGAGCGUCAUUUACCCCCUCAAGCUCCGCUUGGUGUUGGGCGUCUGUCCCGCUUCGCGCGCGGACUCGCCCCAAAGGUAUUGGCAGCGGUCGUGCCAGCUUCUCGCGCAGCACAUUGCGCUUCUCGAGGCACCGGUGGGCCCGCGUCCAUCAAGCUCACCCCCCCAGUUUGACCUCGGAUCAGGUAGGGAUACCCGCUGAACUUAAGCAUAUCAAUAAGCGGAGGA
rnacentral:misc_RNA from 1 species